rnacentral:rRNA from 1 species
GAUGAACGCUAGCUACAGGCUUAACACAUGCAAGUCGAGGGGUAACAAGAGGAAAGCUUGCUUUUCUUGUUGACGACCGGCGCACGGGUGAGUAACGCGUAUCCAACCUGCCUAUAACUAGGGAAUAACCUUGCGAAAGUAAGACUAAUACCCUAUGAUUUCCUUUGAUGACAUCAGAUUAGGAAUAAAGAUUUAUCGGUUAUAGAUGGGGAUGCGUCUGAUUAGCUUGUUGGGGGGGUAACGGCCAACCAAGGCAACGAUCAGUAGGGGUUCUGAGAGGAAGGUCCCCCACAUUGGAACUGAGACACGGUCCAAACGCCUACGGGAGGCAGCAGUGAGGAAUAUUGGUCAAUGGGCGGAAGCCUGAACCAGCCAAGUAGCGUGCAGGAUGACGGCCCUAUGGGUUGUAAACUGCUUUUAUACAGGAAUAAAGUUAGCCACGUGUGGUUAUUUGUAGGUACUGUAUGAAUAAGGACCGGCUAAUUCCGUGCCAGCAGCCGCAGUAA